AAUAACUCUCCUCCUCUCGCCUCUAUGCUCUUCCCACCCCCUCUCCCCGUUUAUCUCUCCCGUCUCCCCUCUUUCUCACUCUCUCCUCUCCGCUCAUCUCUCUCGCACCUACUGCUCUUCUUUCUCGAUCAUCUCUUGUGCACAUAUCUUCAAAUCUUAAAAUCGAUUAGGACAGUAAUUUGAGCAAAACCCCAAAAUUGAUUAAAGUUUUAAUUGAUUCUGUUAAAGCUUUUAUUAGAAGUACAGUACUCACAAAAUUGAUUUAAUGUGUUUCUCACAAAAUCUGUCCUAGAUUAUAUCAGUGUGGUGAGGAUGGCCAUUUUGCCAGGGAUUGUCAUAAUGCGAGCCGUUAGGUUUCGGGAUGUGCUGCUGCGAUAGGCUUCAGUGAGUCGGACAGGUUAGAACAGAGAAGGUCUAGUUCUAAUGGGUUGCAAAUGGAAGAGAACCAACAGAAUGAUGUUAGUAAACCCUUUUUUGUCAUGAUAUGAGGCAGUUAAUAACUGCUUUGUGGAGCUCACUGAAGUUCACGUAGAAGAAGAUGAGUUGAACUGCUUUAUGGAGCCACUCAACAUAUGAUUUGAUUCUUAUGGAUUGUUAGAUGCCAAAGAGGGAUGGUUAUGAAACAACAAAAGCGAUAUGGAGAGCAGAGGUGGGCAGCAGUUCACUCAUCCCAAGUGCUUGCAAGUUGGCAUGGAUUUAAGCUAGCUCCUACAUAACCAUCCAAGGCCGAAGGACGUGCACAAGCCAUCAUAGCUAUUGUCGUGUAAAAAAAUGACAAGAUUUUUUUGUUUUUCAUUCUUUUAUUUCUUUCUUAUUUAAUUUUAGUAAAUUGUAAUCAAGGAAUUUUUAAAUGUGAUUUUUGGUUUGAUA